AGAAUCAACGCUGGCGGCGUGCCUAACACAUGCAAGUCGAACGAGAAAGUGGAGCAAUCCAUGAGUAAAGUGGCGCACGGGUGAGUAACACGUGACUAACCUACCCUUGAGUGGGGAAUAACUUCGGGAAACCGAGGCUAAUACCGCAUAACACCUACGGGUCAAAGGAGCAAUUCGCUUAAGGAGGGGGUCGCGGCAGAUUAGUUAGUUGGCAGGGUAAUGGCCUACCAAGACGGUGAUCUGUAUCCGGCCUGAGAGGGCGCACGGACACACUGGAACUGAAACACGGUCCAGACUCCUACGGGAGGCAGCAGUGGGAAUUUGCGCAAUGGGGGAAACCCUGACGCAGCAACGCCGCGUGGAGGAUGAAGUCCCUUGGGACGUAAACUCCUUUCGAUCGGGACGAUUAUGACGGUACCGGAAGAAGAAGCCCGGCUAACUUCGCGCCAGCAGCCGC
rnacentral:rRNA from 1 species